GAUGAACGCUGGCGGCGUGCCUAAUACAUGCAAGUCGAGCGAACAGACGAGGAGCUUGCUCCUCUGACGUUAGCGGCGGACGGGUGAGUAACACGUGGAUAACCUACCUAUAAGACUGGGAUAACUUCGGGAAACCGGAGCUAAUACCGGAUAAUAUAUUGAACCGCAUGGUUCAAUAGUGAAAGACGGUUUUGCUGUCACUUAUAGAUGGAUCCGCGCCGCAUUAGCUAGUUGGUAAGGUAACGGCUUACCAAGGCAACGAUGCGUAGCCGACCUGAGAGGGUGAUCGGCCACACUGGAACUGAGACACGGUCCAGACUCCUACGGGAGGCAGCAGUAGGGAAUCUUCCGCAAUGGGCGAAGGCCUGACGGAGCAACGCCGCGUGAGUGAUGAAGGUCUUCGGAUCGUAAAACUCUGUUAUUAGGGAAGAACAAAUGUGUAAGUAACUAUGCACGUCUUGACGGUACCUAAUUAGAAAGCCACGGCUAACUACGUG
rnacentral:rRNA from 1 species